CAGCCGCCGCGGUAAUACGUAAGCGGCAAGCGUUGUCCGGAAUUAUUGGGCGUAAAGGGCUCGCAGGCGGUUUCUUAAGUCUGAUGUGAAAGCCCCCGGCUCAACCGGGGAGGGUCAUUGGAAACUGGGAAACUUGAGUGCAGAAGAGGAGAGUGGAAUUCCACGUGUAGCGGUGAAAUGCGUAGAGAUGUGGAGGAACACCAGUGGCGAAGGCGACUCUCUGGUCUGUAACUGACGCUGAGGAGCGAAAGCGUGGGGAGCGAACAGGAUUAGAUACCCCCGUAGUCCCUGUCUCUUAUAA
rnacentral:rRNA from 1 species